rnacentral:rRNA from 1 species
UACGGAAGGCAGCAGUGGGGAAUAUUGCACAAUGGGCGAAAGCCUGAUGCAGCUAUGCCGCGUGUAUGGAGAAGGCCUUAGGGUUGUAAAGUACUUUCAUCGGGGAGGAAAAACAAAACUAAUAAUUUUAUUUCUUGACGUUACCCGAAAAAGAAGCACCGGCUAACUCCGUGCCAGCAGCCGCGGUAAUACGGAGGGUGCUAGCGUUAAUCAGAAUUACUGGGCGUAAAGAGCACGUAGGUGGUUUUUUUAAGUCAGAUGUGAAAUCCCUGGGCUUAACCUAGGAACUGCAUUUUGAAACUGAAAUACUAGAGUAUCGUAGAGGGAGGUAGAAUUCUAGGUGUAGCGGUGAAAUGCGUAGAUAUCUGGAGGAAUACCUGUGGCGAAAGCGGCCUCCUAAACGAAUACUGACACUGAGGUGCGAAAGCGUGGGGAGCAAACAGGGAUUAGAUACC